UCCGGUGGUACGGGAUGGACCCGCGUCUGAUUAGCUGGUUGGCGGGGUAACGGCCCACCAAGGCGACGAUCAGUAGCCGGCCUGAGAGGGCGGACGGCCACAUUGGGACUGAGACACGGCCCAAACUCCUACGGGAGGCAGCAGUGGGGAAUAUUGCACAAUGGGGGAAACCCUGAUGCAGCGACGCCGCGUGAGUGAAGAAGCGUUUCGGCGCGUAAAGCUCUGUCAGCGGGGAAGAAACACGGUUCGCGAGAGCCGCGGACGGUACCCGACCAAGAAGCCCCGGCUAACUACGUGCCAGCAGCCGCGGUAAUACGUAGGGGGCAAGCGUUAUCCGGAUUCACUGGGUGUAAAGGGAGCGUAGACGGCGAGACAAGUCUGGAGUGAAAGGCCGGGGCCCAACCCCGGGACUGCUCUGGAAACUGCCUGGCUGGAGUACAGGAGAGGUAAGUGGAAUUCCUAGUGUAGCGGUGAAAUGCGUAGAUAUUAGGAGGAACACCAGUGGCGAAGGCGGCUUACUGGACUGUAACUGACGUUGAGGCUCGAAAGCGUGGGGAGCAAACAGGAUUAGGUACCCUGGUAGUCCACGCCGUAAACGAUGAUCACUAGGUGUCGGGG
rnacentral:rRNA from 1 species